AACGAACGCUGGCGGCAUGCCUAACACAUGCAAGUCGAACGAGACCUUCGGGUCUAGUGGCGCACGGGUGCGUAACGCGUGGGAAUCUACCCUUGGGUUCGGAAUAACUCAGAGAAAUUUGAGCUAAUACCGGAUGAUGUCGCAAGACCAAAGAUUUAUCGCCCAAGGAUGAGCCCGCGUAGGAUUAGCUUGUUGGUGAGGUAAAAGCUCACCAAGGCGACGAUCCUUAGCUGGUCUGAGAGGAUGAUCAGCCACACUGGGACUGAGACACGGCCCAGACUCCUACGGGAGGCAGCAGUGGGGAAUAUUGGACAAUGGGCGAAAGCCUGAUCCAGCAAUGCCGCGUGAGUGAUGAAGGCCUUAGGGUUGUAAAGCUCUUUACCGGAUGAUAAUGACAGGUACCGGGAGAAGUAACGCCCCGGACUAACCGUCGUGCCAGCAGCCG
rnacentral:rRNA from 1 species